rnacentral:rRNA from 1 species
UGGGGAAUUUUGGACAAUGGGCGAAAGCCUGAUCCAGCAAUGCCGCGUGUGUGAAGAAGGCCUUCGGGUUGUAAAGCACUUUUGUCCGGAAAGAAAUCCUUGGCUCUAAUACAGUCGGGGGAUGACGGUACCGGAAGAAUAAGCACCGGCUAACUACGUGCCAGCAGCCACGGUAAUACGUAGGGUGCAAGCGUUAAUCGGAAUUACUGGGCGUAAAGCGUGCGCAGGCGGUUUGCUAAGACCGAUGUGAAAUCCCCGGGCUCAACCUGGGAACUGCAUUGGUGACUGGCAGGCUAGAGUAUGGCAGAGGGGGGUAGAAUUCCACGUGUAGCAGUGAAAUGCGUAGAGAUGUGGAGGAAUACCGAUGGCGAAGGCAGCCCCCUGGGCCAAUACUGACGCUCAUGCACGAAAGCGUGGGGAGCAAACAGGAUUAGAUACCCUGGUAGUCCACGCCCUAAACGAUGUCAACUAGUUGUUGGGGAUUCAUUUCCUUAGUAACGUAGCUAACGCGUGAAGUUGACCGCCUGGGGAGUACGGUCGCAAGAUUAAAACUCAAAUGAAUUGACGGGGUCAUAGCUG